ACUACCCUCCGCCGCCCGCGAGAGGGCCAGCCACGGCAACCUAAGCCGAAAAUCAAACCAAGCACGCGACCGGUAGACCCCAAGUCGAACGCCGCCA
ncrna:unclassified sequences RT-19 RNA